rnacentral:rRNA from 1 species
AUUGAACGCUGGCGGCAUGCCUUACACAUGCAAGUCGAACGGUAACAGGUUAAGCUGACGAGUUGCGAACGGGUGAGUAAUGUAUCGGAACGUGCCCAGUCGUGGGGGAUAACUUCUCGAAAGAUCAGCUAAUACCGCAUACGACCUGAGGGUGAAAGCGGGGGAUCGCAAGACCUCGCGCGAUUGGAGCGGCCGAUAUCAGAUUAGGUAGUUGGUGAGGUAAAGGCUCACCAAGCCGACGAUCUGUAGCUGGUCUGAGAGGACGACCAGCCACACUGGGGCUGGGACACGGCCCAGACUCCUACGGGAGGCAGCAGAGGGGAAUUGUGGACAAUGGGGGCAAGCCUGAUACAGCCAUGCCGCGUGCGGGAAGACGGCCUUGGGGUUGUAAACAGCUUUUGUCAGGGAAGAAAAGGUUCUGGCUAAUACCUGGGACUCAUGGCGGUACCUGAAGAAUAAGCACCGGCUAACUACGUG